GUGUCAGCAGCCGCGGUAAGACGGAGGAUGCAAGCGUUAUCCGGAAUUAUUGGGCGUAAAGCGUCCGUAGGCGGUUUAUCAAGUCUGUCGUUAAAGACUGCAGCUUAACUGUGGGCGAGCGAUGGAAACUGAUGAACUGGAGUGCGGUAGGGGUAGAGGGAAUUCCCAGUGUAGCGGUGAAAUGCGUAGAUAUUGGGAAGAACACCAGUGGCGAAGGCGCUCUACUGGGCCGCAACUGACGCUGAGGGACGAAAGCUAGGGGAGCGAAAGGGAUUAGAUACCCCUGUAGUCCUAGCUGUAAACGAUGGAUACUAGGUGUUGGGCGUAUCGACCCGUUCAGUACCGAAGUCAACGCGAUAAGUAUCCCGCCUGGGGAGUACGCACGCAAGUGUGAAACUUAAAUGAAUUGACGGGG
rnacentral:rRNA from 1 species